CUUGUAUUUUAAUAAUAGAUUAAAUAGAGCAGAAAAUCUACAAAUGGCACUUAAAUUUAGGAUAGUUAUAAUGUAGAAUUUUAUAAAUGUAUUUCAGAUUCUAUGAUAAAAAUGGCUGCUCUAAGACAGUUUUCCUACAAAAUCCACUCACCAUUUUAAGCAUCAUAAGUUGAAAUUAACUUUCUAAAAACACACACACACUUUUCUCCUUCAGCACAAUGAAUCAUCACUUAAGCUCUGGACCCAGAGACACAACUACAGAAUCAAUUGGGUUUCAUAACCUCAAGUGCCAAUUGUGGUUUCAAAAAUUUACACAGAAGUCUUGUAAACCUUAUAAAAGCAAAAAAUAAUUCCAACAUCAGUGUUUUUCCAUAGGAUUUUCUUUUUUAUCUUAACCACAAAGUGAUCUUUCAGGAAAUCAUAUAUAGUGUUAUAAAUCUUCCCAAAGCUUAAUAUUAAAAAACAAAGGCUACAGGAAAUAGGAGACCCAACAGAGCAAAACAGAGAAGAUAAUGUUACAAAGUUGAGCGUGAGCAAUGGAGAGAAGCCAGUCCAGAUUGGAACAGACACAACUGGCAUUUUAAAAAUAUUAAUCUUUUUCAUCCAAGAACAUUGUGCUUUCCCAAUCUUUCUAUAUCUGCAACAUAGUAACUUAAUAAAUAUUUCUGUGCUAUUUACAUAAACAAAUUAUCUUAAUAAAGGGUAAUGAAAAUUGCAUGUACACAUGCAUGGAAAGCAGAGAUUCAAAAGCUUGGCAAUCAAAGUAAAAACUUAUUUCCCUACCGAGGCCAUGUGAAGGAUAAUUUAUUAAAAGAGGACACCUUUCUGGAUGAAUUACUUAAGCAAGGUACCUACCCAUUCCUAUUCCUCUAUGCUGCCUCUAAUGGGACUUCUGGUCUAUAGAAAAUGAGGAAGAUGUAUAGGGUUCGCUCAAUAUCCUGAGAUAAAACUACAAAUACAUUUUCCCACAGAAACAAUAUCACAAAUAGCAGUCAGAAAACUACUCACUAGUAACAGAAAAAUGCUGGCCUGAAAAAAAUAUAUAGCUCCAAAUGAGAAUUUAUCCAUUGGAAUAUAGGCUGUGGUGCAGAAGCUGCUUAUUUUUCUAAACGGCAAUUGACAGAUCCAUCAGUAUACCGCAGAAGCUGCUCCCAUUCCCUAUGCAGAACAUACUUGCUGAGGGGAGACCUAGACUAAAGUCGAAGAGGUGGACCAUAACCACUUAUGGUGAUUUACCCACUCAUUUAUCCAACAAAGUCGGAUGUUACAGUGGUGGCAAAGGACAAGCAGGCAAAACCCAUCAUCAUAAGCAUGUUUUACUACACUGUUAGGUGACAUUAUAUUUUGUUCUAUUUACAGCCAAUUCAAAAAACCUUAAAGCAUUUCACUAUGCUUUAUAUAAAUUAUAAAUGCUAAAUGAGUGGUAUAGCAAUAAGCUACCUUUAGAAAUUGCUGGGGAAACCACGGUCUGUGAUGAGGUGGGACACUAUGGGGCAGGGCAGAGUGAUGAUGGAAUGGAUUUGGAUUGAACUACCAUCAAGAGUCUACGGCCAUACCACCCUGAACGUGCCUGCUUUUGUCUGAAAUACCAUGGGAAAAAAAAUAGGAUUGGGUCUUAAAUGUCUCCUAGUUCUGCAGGCUUUCU
rnacentral:lncRNA from 1 species